GUAAAAUCAGUGAGCAAGAGUAGUAAGCUUAUUAAUUCUUUACAGAGAGUCGGGGAAGAUGAGAGCCCGAUAAGAAUGAAUUUGUCGAAUGGACUUGCGAGAGGCCUCCUGAAAAGUUAGUAGGGAUGCACGGGGUUCCGCCGUUAAAAGGAUAGGAUAUCGGGUUUAUCCCCUGUAUCCGAAAGAGGAAGCAGGUAUUCUGCUUCAAAUGGAGGUGGCACCACGGUCUAGAAAUCGUCCUCUAU
rnacentral:ncRNA from 1 species